rnacentral:RNase_P_RNA from 1 species
GAGUGAGGUAGUCAGCUUUCGGGGCUAAGUCAUUAGAUUGACAAACUUUGAUAUAUGAAAGUUUAGUUCUCAGAAGUUUUCAACUUCUGAUUCCACAAAAGGUAAAACUUUUGUGGCCUGAGGAAGGUCCGCCCAUCCUAGAUAAUUAAUUUUAUUUAGUUCACUUAUGUGAAAGCCAUCGCUGAAAUAGCGACGAUCGUGAGGUCGAGCUCUAUUACAGAAACGACACAGCCAUGUUUGAACUGUGAACCUCCUCAAAAACUUUGAGUUUUUGGGGUCUUAAGAAUCUUUGAUUCUCAAGAUGGGGGGAGUUUUGAGAACAUGGAUAUGAUGAAACGAGUAUCUUGGUUGAUGCAAGAGUAACAGACAAGAGGUUUACGAAAAGUAAACAAAGGUGUUGUGUACGCUCGCUAAGUAGGAUGUUGACGCGUUUUGUUCGAUUACGAAAAACGACAGAAGGUGGCCUAUUCCUCACUC